GUACUCUCAAGCAUUGCUUGGUGUUGGGUGUUUGUCCUAACAAUAGUUGGGACUCGCCUUAAAACAAUUGGCAGCCAGUGUAUUAGACUUGGAGCGCAGCACAAUUUGCGUCUUCUUGCGAAUAAACUGGCAACCAUCAAGCCUAUUUUUCAC
rnacentral:misc_RNA from 1 species